UACGUAGGGUGCGAGCGUUAAUCGGAAUUACUGGGCGUAAAGCGUGCGCAGGCGGUUGUGUAAGUCAGAUGUGAAAUCCCCGGGCGUCAACCUGGGAACGUAGCAUUUGUAGACUGCACGGCUAGAGUGUAGCAGAGGGGGGUAGGAAUUCCACGUGUAGCAGUGAAAUGCGUAGAGAUGUGGAGGAAUACCGAUGGCGAAGGCAGCCCCCUCGGGUUACGUACUGACGCUCAUGCACGAAAGCGUGGGGAGC
rnacentral:rRNA from 1 species